CCAAACAGGUCGUUCAUGUUGAUAACAACACGUAUGCUUUGUAGUCGCCCCGUUACUUCUGCACGCAAUGAGAUAAAUUUAGUAACAUGUACAGUCACGCAGCCUGUGCGCUGCGUUCAACCAAUCACGUUCCGGCUUGUUACACGUCUGCCGUAGUGGAUAUCAGACGACUGUCGAUUGUAACUACCAAGACGCAAAAUGGAGAAUACCGAUAUCAAAUUUGAUGAGCGUUUAGUCGCUUUAGUCCGCGAUCAUCCUAUGGUGUACGACUCAAAACACAAGGACUAUAAAAAUAAGAAAAUGAAGGAUGAAAUUUGGAAAUCCGUCGGACAAGAACUGGGAUAUUUAGGAGAUGAUUGUCAGUAUAGAUGGCGCGUCAUAAGAGAUAGAUAUGUCAAGAAGAAGAAAGAAAUGUUACGCCGACCGGGUGUACCAGAAGAAACGAUCGUAUCAACAUGGAAACUCUAUUAUAACGUCGACGAAUUUCUCAGUCCUUAUAUCGUGCACCGUAACAGAUUACAGCCCGCGUACUACGAUGACAACAAUCAAUUAAUAUUUAUGAAGGAAGAAGAUUCGGGUUCUCCUCAUGUUUUGGACGAAGGUUCGACGCCCCCGUAUGUGGCCUUCGAAUCGGCCCUUGAUGAUUCGGUAGAUGAUGUUAAUAGUGAAAGUGUUGUGGGAACAGAUCAGAGACCGCCAAAACUUUCUCAUUAUAACAGUGACAUACAAAGUGAUGUUAGUGAUUUUACUAGGGUUCACCAGAACGGUUUGAUCAACCUUGAUGAUACCCUUCGACAGCUCCCCAAUUCGAGAAAAAGAAGAGCCAUUCAGAAAGAGGACGAUUUAAGAAUAAUGAGUGUGGUCUCAAAUGAAAGACAAAAUGCCUUAGACGAAGAGGCUCAUUUUGGAUGCAUUGUAACAUCCACGCUAAGGCGACUCCCACCCAAACAGCGUGCAUUAGGCAAACUUAAACUAACGGAACUCCUUUAUAAAUUAGAAUUUCCAGAAGAUAGCCCAAUUGAACCCCUUUUACAUCAAGAACACAAAAUUUCCAAUACUGCGGAAGAUGAAAAAGAGUGAUAAUUUCGCCAUAAUAGUAUGAAAUACAGAAUUAUUUAAAUAUUUUCAGAAGUAAGCUUAAUCUAAAUCUUAAACCUACUUAAUUAAAGUAUUUAUAUUUUUAAUUUUUAAUCAUUAUAUCAGUAUAUAAAACCUAUCUCAUUAAAACCUAAUUUUUACAAGCAUAUCUUAAUUAUAUUCUGUUUAUUUCGUUGUUUUAUGUUAUAAUGUAUUGUUAAUUGUUUACAAUAAAUGUUAUUAUAAUUUUC